rnacentral:rRNA from 1 species
CCUACGGGUGGCAGCAGUGAGGAAUAUUGGUCAAUGGUCGCGAGCCUGAACCAGCCAAGUAGCGUGAAGGAUGAAUGCCCUACGGAUUGUAAACUUCUUUUGUCAAGGAAUAAAGUGAGGCACGUGUCCCUGUUUGUGUGUACUUUAUGAAUAAGGAUCGGCUAACUCCGUGCCAGCAGCCGCGGUAAUACGGAGGAUCCGCGCGUUAUCCGGAUUUAUUGGGUUUAAAGGGAGCGUAGAUGGGGUGUUAAGUCAGUUGUGAAAGUUUGCGGCUCAACCGUAGACUUGCAAUUGAUACUGGCAGCCUUGAGUACAGUUGAGGUAGGCGGAAUUCGUGGUGUAGCGGUGAAAUGCUUAGAUAUCACGAAGAACUCCGAUUGCGAAGGCAGCUUACU